CGCCCACCAACCACCGAGACUGACAGCUCAGGCAGCCAAUGGGCACCAGCGGAGGCGGAUUAAGCGGCGCGCGAGCACCCGUCAACGGCCUGCCGAGUGACUCACGCACUGAAAGGGGCGGGGCAGCCCAAGGUGACUGAGGUAGCAAGCGGCCAAUUACAGGAGAGGAAUUAUGUCAUCGGCUGUAGAUGCAGCUUGAGAACAUACUGCAAGUUGCUUCUGGUGUGAGAGAAUUGACCGUCUACAGAGACGUUGCCCAGGGGACUCCCAGAUGUGUUACCAUCCUGCUGAGAGGCUUCUCUCAUGUUCCCGCAAGCUAGAGCUGACAGCUGGGAGCUCACCCCGUCUCACAGAUUCGAACCGGCAACCUUCAGUUAUUAACUUCUAUACCAUAUUUGGAGUCAUCUGCGAAUUCCAUCUUCAUUGCUAUGAUACUUCAUUUUGUUGAUGGGAAGCUUCCUACCAGAGUGGAAAUCAUCUAUCGGACAGAUGGCAAGAUAUUUAACCUCAGCAGACUGAAAGCCAAAACCAAGGUCACAACAACACCUGUUAUAGAACUUCAAUAUGCCGAUAAUAAUGUAGUUUGUGUGCAUUCAGAAAAAGACAUACAAGUCACUCUAAACACCUUUGCAGAUGAAAAGCUUGGUCUCUCAUUGAACAUCGACAAAACCAAAGUGCUCUACCAGCAGUGGCCAGCCAAUCCCUUUGCAAUGGCAGAAAAUACAGCUUAAUGGUGUAACGUUAGAAAAUGUUGACCAUUUCUGCUACCUUGGCAGCCACCUUUCCAUAUUGACACUGAAAUACAACACCGCCCGAACUCUGCGAGUGCAGCAUUUUUCAGAAUUAAGCAGAGAGUGUUCGAGGAUCGAGACAUCCAUAGGGAUACCAAGAUGCUUGUUUAUAAAGCUAUUGUCCUCCCAACCCUGUUAUAUGCUUGCAAAACAUGGACUGUCUACAGACAGCACACUCAACUACUGGAACGAUUCCACCAGCAUUGCUUCCAAAAAAUCCUGCAAAUUUCUUGGGAAGACAGGCGGACAAAUGUCAGCGUGCUGGAAGAAGCAAACACCACUAGCAUUGAAGUAAUGCUCCUACGCCAUCAACUCCGCUGGACUGGCCACGUUGUCUGAAUUCCCGAUCACCGUCUCCCAAGCAGUUACUAUACUCCCAAUUCAAGAAUGGAAAGCGUAAUGUUGAUGGACAGGAAAAUAAAUUUAAACAUGGACUUAAAGCUAACCUUAAAAACUGUAGCAUAGACAUCGAGAAUUGGAAAGUCCUGGCCCUUAAGUGCUCUAGCUGGAGGUCAGCUGUGACCAACAGUACUGUGGAAUUUGAAGAGGCUUGAAUGAAGGGCGAAAGAGAGAAACGGGCCAAGAGGAAGGUGUGUCAAGCCAACCCUAAUCGGGACCACCUUCCAACUGGAAACCGAUGUCCUCACUUUGGAAGAACUUGCAGGUCAAGAAUAGGGCUCUACAGUCACCUGUGUACCCACCGCCAAGACACUACACUUGGAAGGCCAUCAUACUCAGACGAGGGUUCGCCUAAGUAAGUAAGCAAAGGUAAGAAAAUAUGCUAAUUUCUACAUAGAUUACCAAAAUGUUUCAAUCAUAAAUCUAGGGAAUAGAUUGAGACAGAGCAUGAGCAACCUUUUAAAAGAUUUUAAAACUGAGUUUUGCAAUCUGAAGUAAGUGGGCUGAGAUAGCAAAUCAAAUUCAUCCUCAUUCCUGCUCCACCUUUACAAGUCUGAACAAAAUAUACAAGUGACAAGUCAGUGAAAUAAUAAGUGAAAAACAAUGUGUCUUCUCUAUAAUAUUGUAGCUUUACUAAUUAACAUAUUUCCUAAGAUCAGCAAUCAUUCCUACCAGUGCUUCAGAAUACUGGUUUCAAAAUGGCCAGAAGCAAAGCAUUAGCCAUGUAGCAUGAAUUAUGUUAUUUCUGUAAUGUUCAAUAACUUUUGGUAAGUAUAUUGUUUAAUUACAUUUUUUGCAAAUGUCUAAUAGACAUGUCAGCCUCAGUUCAUUCACAGGUACAUAAAAGGCCAACCAAAACAUUGUCAUUUGCUCUAAUUGAUUUGGGGUCAGCUAGAAGUCUUCUCCCUCAAGCUGAUAAAUAAUCAUACAGUCAAAAUAUCUUACUGUGGACACAUUCAGAAACAUCUCAAAUUACCCAGGUACCUAUGAAAUCCAUCAUGACACCAAAAACAAGUCCUGGACCAGACCGUUAUUGUUCAUGAACUUACAUUUGGUUUCGAAAGCACUUGAAACAGCAAGUCAUCUAACAGAUAAGGACUCUUGUCCAACCAUGUGCUUUGCACUGUGAGCGAUAUAUUUGAAUAAAACCUAUGGUAUAUUCAUUACUAGUGAGAACUCUUUUACAGACAAGACAUACAUUAAACAACUGAAUUUAAAAUGUACUACAAUUCAAGAGAGAAUGUGUACCUGUGUCCCCCCUGCCCCCAAAUUACAAAUGUUUAAGGUAGGGAAACACUGCUGUUAUACAGCACAACAAAGUGCCACUGUGACAAUCACUACAAACACUCUUCCCAUAUAUAGGACAAAUUUGGGCUGACUAGUUCCAGCCUAACAAUAUAAUCAUCACAUAAAUAAAAAGGACGAACUAGCCCAAACUAAAUGUUACCUGCUUUGAACAAAUUCUUUAGUACUAAGGUUUCAAACAACAAUUUACAUUUAUUAUUUUAGCUAAUUAACAUAGUAUUUGUUUAUGAAGGUCAUCAGUUCAGAACAAUGUAUGUACAGGGAAGAAGAGCAGGAAUCUGUAAAAUUCCAAGAAAUGUACUACAUAUCUAUUAAUGGAGAACCUUAUGUUUUUCAGAACCCCAGGAAUCAAAGUUCAAAUACAAAGAAUGCAUUUGUAGCCUUUACGACUGUGAAGAUAAUUUCAAGAUGUGUAGCAAUUUCUAAUAAAAGCUGAGCUAUCAGAAAGUUUUGCUCCGAUUCCUUAAACAAUAUGGCAAUUCAGAAAGAUCUCACUUAAUCAAACCAAGCUGCUGGUAAAAAAACCCUCUACAUUCUACAAGCAAAAACUACAUCUGCGCCAAAAAAGAACACAGGUGGUGGCCGCUUUGGUACACUUUGCCUUCCUUUGGAGGUUUACUAAGUAAAAUCAAUGUUUAGAAACACAUUUACUCAGUAUUAAGUAUGUGUUGUUCUAGCAUUAAAACUGAUCUUUGUAAUAUGAAAAUUUUGAAAGUAUGAGAUGAUCUAUAUUGAAUACUAAUAUAUUAUGGUAAAUUA